CCCGCCACUGUGCUGGUCCUCCAGUGACUUAGUAUAGUCCAGUGGUAAGCUAAGAGCGAAGCCCCAUCUUAGGAAACAGGGUCCUUCCCCAUGUGAUUGACCUUGUGCCGAAAGACUGGGUACACGG